rfam:Paenibacillus sp. MSt1 Contig_63, whole genome shotgun sequence.
CACGAUAGAAAGGCUUUUAGGGCGGUCGGCUAGCCUCCUGGAACGGAGGUGAUGGCCAAUGGAGGUAUACCAAGCACUUACCUUGAUGUUCGGGUUCGGGAUGUUCAUCUUGACAUUGCUAACGUACCUAAACAAAAAGAAAUAGACCGCCCUCGGUCAAAGCAGCGGUCCUUUCUUGAUCCUCAUACAAUUUGUCUAAGCCACCGCCCUGAGAAGCGGCUAUUGUGCGGGAGUGCGGAUGUUCGCGGCAUCCGCA